AUACGUAGGGGGCGAGCGUUGUCCGGAAUGAUUGGGCGUAAAGGGCGCGUAGGCGGCCCGGUAAGUCUGGAGUGAAAGUCCUGUUUUUAAGAUGGGAAUUGCUUUGGAUACUGUCGGGCUUGAGUGCCGGAGAGGUAAGUGGAAUUCCCAGUGUAGCGGUGAAAUGCGUAGAGAUUGGGAGGAACACCAGUGGCGAAGGCGGCUUACUGGACUGUAACUGACGCUGAGGCGCGAAAGUGUGGGGAGCAAACAGGAGUAGAUACCCUGGUAGUCCACACUGUAAACGAUGAAUGCUAGGUGUAGGGGGUAUCGACCCCUUCUGUGCCGCAGUCAACACAAUAAGCAUUCUGCCUGGGGAGUACGGCCGCAAGGUUGAAACUCAAAUGAAUUGACGGGG
rnacentral:rRNA from 1 species